GGGUUGUGAGGUUAAGCGACUAAGCGUACACGGUGGAUGCCCUGGCAGUCAGAGGCGAUGAAGGACGUGCUAAUCUGCGAAAAGCGUCGGUAAGGUGAUAUGAACCGUUAUAACCGGCGAUGUCCGAAUGGGGAAACCCAGUGCAAUUCGUUGCACUAUCGUUAACUGAAUACAUAGGUUAACGAGGCGAACCGGGGGAACUGAAACAUCUAAGUACCCCGAGGAAAAGAAAUCAACCGAGAUUCCCCCAGUAGCGGCGAGCGAACGGGGAGCAGCCCAGAGUCUGAAUCAGCUUGUGUGUUAGUGGAACGGUCUGGAAAGUCCGACGGUACAGGGUGAUAGUCCCGUACACCAAAAUGCACAGGUUGUGAACUCGAAGAGUAGGGCGGGACACGUGGUAUCCUGUCUGAAUAUGGGGGGACCAUCCUCCAAGGCUAAAUACUCCUGACUGACCGAUAGUGAACCAGUACCGUGAGGGAAAGGCGAAAA
rnacentral:rRNA from 1 species